rnacentral:rRNA from 1 species
AACGAACGUUGGCGGCAUGCCUAACACAUGCAAGUCGAACGAGACCUUCGGGUCUAGUGGCGCACGGGUGCGUAACGCGUGGGAAUCUGCCCUUGGGUUCGGGAUAACAGUUGGAAACGACUGCUAAUACCGGAUGAUGUCUUCGGACCAAAGAUUUAUCGCCCAAGGAUGAGCCCGCGUAGGAUUAGCUUGUUGGUGAGGUAAGAGCUCACCAAGGCGACGAUCCUUAGCUGGUCUGAGGGGAUGAUCAGCCACACUGGGACUGAGACACGGCCCAGACUCCUACGGGAGGCAGCAGUGGGGAAUAUUGGACAAUGGGCGAAAGCCUGAUCCAGCAAUGCCGCGUGAGUGAUGAAGGCCUUAGGGUUGUAAAGCUCUUUUACCCGGGAUGAUAAUGACAGUACCGGGAGAAUAAGCCCCGGCUAACUCCGUGCCAGCCGCCGCGGUAA